rnacentral:lncRNA from 1 species
ACCGAUUCUUCCGUUAAUGGUUUUAGACAUAUAUAUAUAUAUGUUUGGAUUUGGUCGGCAACUAGUUUUGGACAUUUUAUUUGCUAAAGAAUCAAUAAAAGUUUAUCGUAUUCAUACAUGCACAACGUGUAAAACACAUGUAUAUAUAUGGAUUUUAAGUUUUGAUUAGAGGAAAAAAAAAGAAAAAUGGGUCAGGGUAAUUAUACUCAAAUUGGAAUAAACAACAUCAUACUAAACGUCACAUAUAUAUUUUCAUUGAUAGGUCGG